CCCUGGGUGGCUCAGUUGGUUGAGCGUCUGACUUCGGCUCAGGUCAUGAUCUCAUGGUUUGUGAGUUCGAGCCCCGUUUCGGGCU
rfam:Felis catus isolate Cinnamon breed Abyssinian chromosome X, whole genome shotgun sequence.